rnacentral:rRNA from 1 species
CAAGUCGAACGGGAAUCUUCGGAUUCUAGUGGCGGACGGGUGAGUAACGCGUAAGAAUCUAACUUCAGGACGGGGACAACAGUUGGAAACGACUGCUAAUACCCGAUAUGCCGCGAGGUGAAACCUAAUUGGCCUGAAGAAGAGCUUGCGUCUGAUUAGCUAGUUGGUGGGGUAAGAGCCUACCAAGGCGACGAUCAGUAGCUGGUCUGAGAGGAUGAGCAGCCACACUGGGACUGAGACACGGCCCAGACUCCUACGGGAGGCAGCAGUGGGGAAUUUUCCGCAAUGGGCGAAAGCCUGACGGAGCAACGCCGCGUGAGGGAGGAAGGUCUUUGGAUUGUAAACCUCUUUUCUCAAGGAAGAAGUUCUGACGGUACUUGAGGAAUCAGCCUCGGCUAACUCCGUGCCAGCAGCCGCGGUAAUACGGGGGAGGCAAGCGUUAUCCGGAAUUAUUGGGCGUAAAGCGUCCGCAGGUGGUCAGCCAAGUCUGCUGUCAAAUCAGGUUGCUUAGCGACCUAAAGGCGGUGGAAACUGGCAGACUAGAGAGCAGUAGGGGUAGCAGGAAUUCCCAGUGUAGCGGUGAAAUGCGUAGAGAUUGGGAAGAACAUCGGUGGCGAAAGCGUGCUACUGGGCUGUAUCUGACACUCAGGGACGAAAGCUAGGGGAGCGAAAGGGAUUAGAUACCCCUGUAGUCCUAGCCGUAAACGAUGGAUACUAGGCGUGGCUUGUAUCGACCCGAGCCGUGCCGAAGCUAACGCGUUAAGUAUCCCGCCUGGGGAGUACGCACGCAAGUGUGAAACUCAAAGGAAUUGACGG